rnacentral:misc_RNA from 1 species
GAUGAAGAACGUAGUGAAAUGCGAUACGUAGUGUGAAUUGCAGAAUUCAGUGAAUCAUCGAAUCUUUGAACGCACAUUGCACCUCUCGGUAUUCCGGGAGGUAUGCCUGUUCGAGCGUCAUUUGUACCCUCAAGCUCUGCUUGGUGUUGGGUGUUUGUUCCGCCUCUGUGUGUGAACUCGCCUCAAAACAAUUGGCAGCCGGCGUACUUGUUUCGGAGCGCAGCACAUUUUGCGAUCCAGAUCAACGUACAGCGGCAUCCAAGAAGCCUUAUUUAACGCUCUUGACCUCGGAUCAGGUAGGGAUACCCGCUGAACUUAAGCAUAUCAAUAAGCGAGGA